rnacentral:rRNA from 1 species
UACGUAGGGAGCAAGCGUUGUCCGGAAUCAUUGGGCGUAAAGCGCGCGUAGGUGGCCACGUAAGUCCGUUGUGAAAGUCAAAGGCUCAACCUUUGAAAGCCGAUGGAUACUGUGUGGCUAGAGUACGGAAGAGGCGAGUGGAAUUCCUGGUGUAGCGGUGGAAUGCGCAGAUAUCAGGAGGAACACCAAUAGCGAAGGCAGCUCGCUGGGACGUACUGACACUGAGGCGCGAAAGCGUGGGGAGCGAACAGGA